rnacentral:lncRNA from 1 species
GAUGGCCUUACCUCUUUUUAUUUUGGUCUUCUCAACUUUUUAAUGAGCUUGACCUUUUCGGAUUUCUAAUGAGGUCGACUUACUCGGCCUUCUAAUGAGAUCAUACUUUCUUGACCUUCUGAUGAGGUCAACUUACUCGAUCUUUUGAUGAGGUUAACUUAUUCGAUUUCUUGAUGAGGUCGGACUUUCUUGACCUUCUGAUG